rnacentral:rRNA from 1 species
GACGAACGCUGGCGGCGUGCCUAAUACAUGCAAGUAGAACGCUGAAGCGAGGAGCUUGCUCUUCUUGGAUGAGUUGCGAACGGGUGAGUAACGCGUAGGUAACCUGCCUUGUAGCGGGGGAUAACUAUUGGAAACGAUAGCUAAUACCGCAUAACAAUGGAUGACACAUGUCAUUUAUUUGAAAGGGGCAAUUGCUCCACUACAAGAUGGACCUGCGUUGUAUUAGCUAGUAGGUGAGGUAAUGGCUCACCUAGGCGACGAUACAUAGCCGACCUGAGAGGGUGAUCGGCCACACUGGGACUGAGACACGGCCCAGACUCCUACGGGAGGCAGCAGUAGGGAAGCUUCGGCAAUGGGGGCAACCCUGACCGAGCAACGCCGCGUGAGUGAAGAAGGUUUUCGGAUCGGAAAGCUCGGUUGUAAGUCAAGAACGGGUGUGAGAGUGGAAAGUUCACACUGUGACGAUAGCUUACCAGAAAGGGACGGCUAACUACGUG